rnacentral:tRNA from 1 species
GGGCCGGUGGCGCAGUGGUAGCGCGUCCGCUUGGCAAGCGGAAGGCCAGGGGUUCGAAUCCCCUCCGGUCCA